AGAUAAUUGUAAGCAGCAAGAAUGUUUAGUAAAGUAAGAUCUACAAACACAUCACCAUCACCAAAACACAAUUUUGUCAUGAAUCCAUCUGUGUCCAUUGUUUAAUAUUCACAUAGACCAAGGUGAGCGACACAGGCUCUUUAGAGCCUCUAGUUGGUUAUUAUCUUGAAUAUUAUUAUAGAUAGAGAUAAACUGUAAACAGCAAUAAUGUUCAGCAAAGUAAUAUUUACAAAUAAGUCAAAAUGACCGAAAUGGUCAGUUGACCCCUUUAGGAGUUAUUGCCCUUUAUAGUCAAUUUUUAACCAUUUUUCGUAAAUCUUAGUGAUCUUUUACAAAAAUCUUCUCCUCUGAAACUACUUGGCGAAAUCAAUCCAAACUUGGCCACAACCAUCUUUGGGGUAUGUAGUUUGAAAAAUGUGUCCAGCGACCCAGCCAUCCAAUCAAGAUGGCCGCCAUGGCUAAAAAUAGAACCUUGGGUAAAAUGCAGUUUUUGGCUUAUAACUAAAAAACCAAAGCAUUUAGAGUAAAUCUGACAGAGGUAAAUUUGUUUAUCAGGUCAAGAUCUACCUGCCCUGAAAUUUUCAGAUGAAUUGGACAACCCGGUUUUGGGUUGCUGCCCCAGAAUAAGUAAUUUUAAUGAAAUUUUGCUGUUUUUGGUUAUUAUCUUGAAUAUUAUUAUAGAUAGAGAUAAACUGUAAACAGCAAUAAUGUUCAGCAAAAAAAGAUUUACAAAUAAGUCAACAUGACCGAAAUGGUCAGUUGACCCCUUUAGGAGUUAUUGCCCUUAAUAGUCAAUUUUUAACCAUUUUUCGUAAAUCUUAGUAAUCUUUUACAUCUUCUCCUCUGAAACUACUUGGCCAAAUUACACCAAACUUGGCCAAAAUCAUCAUUGGGGUAUCUUGUUUAAAAAUGUGUCCGGUGACCCGGCCAACCAUCCAAGAUGGCCGCCAUGGCUAAAAAUAGAACAUAGGGGUAAAAUGCAGUUUUGGGCUUAUAACUCAAAAACCAAAGCAUUUAGAGCAAAUCUGACAAGGGGUAAAAUUAUGUAACAGG
rnacentral:lncRNA from 1 species